rnacentral:rRNA from 1 species
AUUGAACGCUGGCGGCAUGCCUUACACAUGCAAGUCGAACGGUAACAGGUCUUCGGAUGCUGACGAGUGGCGAACGGGUGAGUAAUACAUCGGAACGUGCCCGAUCGUGGGGGAUAACGAAGCGAAAGCUUUGCUAAUACCGCAUACGAUCUACCGAUGAAAGCAGGGGAACGCAAGGCCUUGCGCGAACGGAGCGGCCGAUGGCAGAUUAGGUAGUUGGUGGGAUAAAAGCUUACCAAGCCGACGAUCUAUAGCUGGUCUGAGAGGACGACCAGCCACACUGGGACUGAGACACGGCCCAGACUCCUACGGGAGGCAGCAGUGGGGAAUUUUGGACAAUGGGCGAAAGCCUGAUCCAGCCAUGCCGCAUGCAGGAUGAAGGCCUUCGGGUUGUAAACUGCUUUUGUACGGAACAAAAGACUCUGGUUAAUACCUGGGGUCCAUGACGGUACCGUAAGAAUAAGCACCGGCUAACUACGUGCCAGCCGCCGCCGUAA